GCUACAUGUACAUUAGAAUAUGUGCAAUGUUUGAUUACAAAUAAAAUGUAAUUUUGCAUUGCAGUUCUUUGGAUCUGUCGUUGCUGGGAACAGCGAUCCUGCGAAGUGGCACUGGUUGCCUACCAGCUAGCCUCUGUCCGAGCAGGCCACUUCACCGUUACUUGAAGCUGCUGCCGGCUAAAAGAAGCUGAGCAAGCUCCGUGCGCAUAUGCCCACUGAUAUAACCUGGAGAGAUGGUCACUUCUGGGCACACCAUCCUUCCUGACCAAGUUGUGUGGAAAGGCAUCCAAGAC